rnacentral:rRNA from 1 species
GUCAUGGAGUUCAUUCAAAUUUCUAGCCCUAUCAAGUUUCGAUGGUAGGAUAGAGGCCUCACCAUGCUUGGUGACGGGUAACGGCGAAUUAGGGUUCGAUUCCGGAGAGGGAGCCUGAGAAACGGCUACCACAUCUAAGGAAGGCAGCAGGCGCGCAAAUUACCCAAUCCUGAUUCAGGGAGGUAGUGACAAUAAAUAACAAUCCAGGACUUCGGUCUGGAAUGUGGAAUGAGAACAAUUUAAAUCUCUUAUCGAGGAACAAUUGGAGGGCAAGUCUGGUGCCAGCAGCCGGGUAAAUUCCAGCUCCAAUAGCGUAUAUUAAAGUUGUUGCAGUUAAAUAGCUCGUAAGUUGAAUCUUGGGGCUGGUUUGGCGGUCGCGUCUUUGACGGUGUACUGUCGGCCGGUUCUUUAUACUUGUGGGGAACGUAUGUUGCCCCUUUGCGGGGGUGUGUACGGGAACCAUGGCUGUUACUUUGAAAAAACAUUAGAGUGUUUAAAGCGGGCGUAAGGCUUGGUAUACAUUAGGCAUGGCAUAAUUAGGAAUAGGACUUGGGUAUAAUU